rnacentral:rRNA from 1 species
UACGUAGGACCCAAGCGUUAUCCGGAGUGACUGGGCGUAAAGAGUUGCGUAGGCGGCUUAAUAAGUGGAUAGUGAAACCUGGUGGCUCAACCAUUCAGACUAUUAUCCAAACUGUUAGCUCGAGAAUGGUAGAGGUGGCUGGAAUUUCUAGUGUAGGAGUGAAAUCCGUAGAUAUUAGAAGGAACACCGAUGGCGUAGGCAGGCCACUGGACCAUUUCUGACGCUAAGGCACGAAAGCGUGGGGAGCGAACCGG